rnacentral:rRNA from 1 species
UACGUAGGGGGCAAGCGUUGUCCGGAAUCAUUGGGCGUAAAGAGCGUGUAGGCGGCUUGGUACGUCCGCUGUGAAAGUCCAGGGCUCAACCCUGGAAUGCCGGUGGAAACUGUCAAGCUUGAGUCCGGAAGAGGCGAGUGGAAUUCCUGGUGUAGCGGUGAAAUGCGCAGAUAUCAGGAGGAACACCAAUGGCGAAGGCAGCUCGCUGGGACGGUACUGACGCUGAGACGCGAAAGCGUGGGGAGCAAACAGG